rnacentral:lncRNA from 1 species
GCUGAGCCUCCCCUCGCUGGAGUCAGGGGCCGCAGGGAAUUCCCACCAAAUUCAAGAGAAGAAAACUGGACCUUGGUGAACAAGACUUCAGGCAGAUGUUUGCAAGGAUGUGGGAGCCACCACCGCUGUUCCUUUGCCCUGCAAUAGUGCUGCAAACCCUCUGGGACCAGGCACUCCACCGGGACAGAGCAAAAACCUGCCCCUACCCAAAAGAGAGGUCUCAGGCUCACAAGGUGCACGUUGGUGUUAGUCCAGCCAUGGCUACGAGGCAAACUAUUGUUUCUGUCACCACUGGAAGAAAACAUCUUUCUCAUUCACAGACAAACAGCACUUUGGAGAUCAAAG